UUAUCUGAAUGUAAUGUUUAGCUGCUGGGUGGUCUUUUUAUGAUUAAAUAAUCAUAAUGAUAAUGAAGUGAAGUGAAUUUUGUGAAGUGUCCAUGCUUAUACAUCUACAGCAGCUACAUUUCUUCAAGAAUAGUUUACCAGAAUUCUUACUGUAUCUAGUUAGAAGUUUCGAGUUGCCCAUUACUGUCUAUAAGUGGCAAGUUUGGAAUUUGAAAAAUAUUUUUUUUGUUGAUUUAUUCCCACUAGCUACUAAUGUUGGUGGACGCCAGAGGCUAGGACGGCAAACUUCUUCAGUCUCCUUUAGGAAUCGUGGGAAUGGGUGGAUGGUGAGAGAAAGAUAAGAUGGGUGAAAAGGAAACUACAGAAAAACUUGGAUCAGCUCAAAGGAAUCAGCAGGUCCUUACAGUAAAGAAUCAUAACCACGUUUACAGGGAGAGACAAAAUAUCUUCUUUAACGAUAAAAAACGAAUUUGACUUCUGGAUUGAAUGUGUUGAACAAAAAAGUUAUGAACAUUUUCCUCUUCUAAAUAGAUUUCUUGAAAAUAAACAGUAAUAUGCAACCUCAGAUGUGGUAUUGAACCUCAAGAAAUCCUUGAAAGAAUAUAUAACAGAGGAGUUACAGAAUUGCCACUGAGUACAGAAUCCAUUCGCGAAUCAGACUAAAUCAUCAAUGUUCACAGAGUUGGAGUAUGAAAACUUGACCGAUAUUAAGAAUGCAAAUUUGAAUCAACCUCUGGAUCGAAUUUAAUGAUGAAUUUUAUUAUUUUCUUUAUUCCUUGCGAGCUUUUCAGCUUACGACAUGUACGCAAUAAGGGGUCAAGUGUCUUAGACAUAAAACUAUUGUCAGUGUAUUUUUUUGUCGUGACGGGUUCCGCUAAAAAAAAGUGGUCAAAAAGGGUUCCGUAGCAAAAAAAAUUGGGAACACUGCUAUGGGCUAUAUGCCGCUCGGCAGUGGAGUUUACAUUCGUCCAUCGCUUUAGAUCGUUCAAGUCAGCUGUUCAGCUGUUGCCCCUCGCCAAGUUGUUCGUCGCCUUACCGCUCCUUUCCCCGUUACACUUUUCCUCGUAACCGUCAUCCAAUCCAUCUCCUCACAAGUACAAAGGCUUACUCGAAUCGUGGCAGCAGUUCUCCCCAGCUUCAGCUUCAGCCCACUCGCCCGCUACAUAGCCGCCCGUCUGCCGCGGGUACCCCUCUGCUCGCUAUACUCCCCCAUCGCCUAGGCAACAGCAACAGCAGUGCGCACACAUUGAGAACAGUUCGACCGAAGCUUUUAGGAGAUUACGGACGGGAAUUAUUUAGAUGCCUUAUAUUCUUGUGGUGUUCGUUUUGUUUUCGGUUUUGUUCUACGACUGCAUACCAACAACUGCAUCAAUUGGUCGAGUGGAAUGGAGAUUGGUGUUCUUUGCUACCCGUACCGAGUGUUUGUAAUUAGAUUUUCAGUGAUUAGUGGCCAGUGUCUUUGACCGACUCGUAACAUUUACCCUCAUAUCGAUUUUGAUGAAUUUUUGUUUAAACUAUUUUCGAAAAUUCUACUAAAUAUAGAUAAGUAAGCUGUGAUUUUCUAAGUAACUAAUUUAGAGGAUUCACUUCAUUUUCUCGUUAACAUAAUUCAUCACAUUCCUAUGUUGUACGCCUUUGAUAUACUUUCCAUAUUCGCAAAAAUUCAUUUUUGGAAUUCGUACCUGGUUGAGAGUUUAAUGGUGAGGCAAAAAAAAAUGGUAUUACUAAAUUUUUUUAUUUAUAAAAUUUUAUUCGAAAGUUGUUACUAAACGGAUCAUUAGUGAAUAUUAAUAUUUUAUAUGCCAAUGUUGAUAUAAAGAAGUAAAAAGUAUUUAAAGCAGAAAUCCUAUUUCACUAAUUUAGUAGGUGCCUAGGUAAAAUGCUUUUCCUUUACAGAAAUAGGCGUUAAAAACAUUUGUUCUGUGAAAUUGUGAAAGUAUGUCAUAACAGACAUAAACAUCCAAGUUAUUAUCAUCAUUUUGUGAGAAUAUAAGGUGAAUCUUUUAAAUUUACUCACAUCAGGUAAAGAUUUUGUUUAGUGCAUUGGGAGUGAAUAGCAGGUAGCUAGAACCCACGCAGUACUACUGGCCAAAAUCACCGAGAUUGCAAUUCCAAAACUUUUUAAACGUCACCCUAAAAUGUGAACUCUAAAGACUGUCAAUAAUGUAAUUCCCACCUAACAUUAGGUCCACAUAUUUUUAUUGGAUCAAACCUUAUUUGUAGAUACACAUUGUUAAUUGUAUAAUACAUUAAUAUUUAAUAUACGAUAACAGUUAUGUAAUUGUUGUUCAUUGAAAUAAUAAAUAAAUAGGUAGUUGCUGUUAAUGAUCGUCAACAACAUUUUGUAAGUAAAAUUAGGUAGAUAUUAAAAUUGAAAACUUCUUGAAAUUUUUUCUCACUUUUCGACAUUGGCAAAUAAAUUAAUAUUUUAGGCGCAUCAAAAACAAGUGCGAUAUUGUGAAAAAGCCGUAAAAAAGUACAAACAUCACAGCAAACAACAUUGGCAUAUAAUAAAAUGUAUCUUUUUUUA